ACCAGCUCGCUUGCUCGACAGAAGGGUCAACUUCCUGCUCCAACCUGCAAUUUGAAUGCAGGGAUAAUAACAAAUAACCAAAGUUUAAUAAUAUUGCUGGAUUUUUUAUAAUGCUUAAUAAAUGAUGCGUGUAAAUUUACACAUAUUUAUUACGUCACUGACAUUGUUUUUUAUUGCGUUUAUUUCUUUUAUAUUGAUUUGAAGAUGAAAACCUUAUUUAAUUUACCUAAAAUUUGUUUGUGUUUAACACUGAUUUAUGUUGUUUUUCUGUUUAAUAUUAGUGUGUCCUGGUAAACGUGUGCUCGGAAACAUGCAGAUUACAGUAUUUACAGAGCCGACCUUGAGGCACCCACUGAUGGAUAAUCUGUUUACCUAAAAACAGCCCACCACAAUCCAUGUUUACCAGCUGUGGAAGUGCAGGCCAAAAAUCUUCCUUCACCUGUGGGCCUCUUCCCACAUGUAGAUAAGCACUUCAGGGGAAACCUGCCUGUGAUCUGCUAAGAUGCACAGAUUCAACUCUGGCCCAUUGUCAUCCCAACACCUCAUCUGCCAUCAGUUUCGUUUAGUGUCGGUCUAUUGCAAAAGUUCUUAUAAACUUUAAAUGAGACUUUGUGUUAAGCAGGGGUUUCCAAACUUUUCAUUCCACAACAUAUUAAGCCCAGGAUACACAGCAGGAUUUUUGCAAUCCAAUAAGACCUUAUCACACUGUGUGACAAGGAUUGUUUAAACUUCAGCAGUAGACUGUCGAUGAAGACACCUAUUGCAUCUGAGGCUGCGACAUCCGUUAUCAG